GCUUCCUGGAGAGAGGAGGGAAGUGUUUGCUUCUCCUCCCAAUGACCCCCAUCCACAAGGGGAAAAAGACAGCUUUAUCGCACCCAUUCUGCAGAUGGAGAAACGGAUACUCAGAGAAGCAAAAUGAUUCACUGAAGGUCAGACAGCUAGCCCUGUGAACGCAGAGUGAGAGGGCAGCCACCUGCAAGCCGGGAGAGACUCGCCAGCACACACCCAUGCUCUCCCCUGAUCUUGGACUUUUC